CUGGGAUUGACAUGUAAAACAAGUUUGUUUCUAAUUUAAAUUAAAAAAAAUCUGAAAAAAAAGAAAGAAAAGAGGCCUGGAAGGCUGUCAGGAAAUGAUUCUAAAUGCUAUAACCCCAGGAAAUACCAGGGAAGAAUACACCAACUGUUUAGAAGAAAAAAAUAUUUUAUACAGUUAAAUAGUUGGCUGGAAUUUCUGGUGUUAUGCAUAAAAUUGAUGGGGGUGUCACUGGAUAAAGUAUUUCAAGGACAACUUUUACAAUAAACAGAUUUCCCAGGAAACAAAACAAAGCAAAACAAAACAGAAACAAACAAACAAACAAAACGACAAGGUGUACGGGGGAGGGGCAAAGAUAGCUGGGAGCUUCUGGGCCUGGAAACUUGCAAAAUAACAGUGAGAGGUAAGAAAAUAGAGGGAGGAGAUAUUUGAGCCACACAGUGAUUUUUAAAUAAACCCUAGGGCUGGAAGAACAGUGCUCAGUCAAGGAGGACGCAAGUGUGAGGUACGAACCCAGUUACAUAAAUUGUGAGAGGGAAGGAUACUGGGAUAUCUAUAAUGAAAUGAGCAUCUGUGCCCUGGACCACCCUCACUGGCCACUGCACAGACUCCUGCCUCACUUGUGGUGCUUCUCAGGCUGGCAAAGUGCACCCUCUGAUGUUUGUGGCCUCUAUUCGUGCCGUGCUUUCAUGGUGGCUCUGUGGUUACUGUGGAGUAAGGGGAACAGAGAAGGUGAAAAUGGCACAGACUUUGAGUUUAAGAAGUUCUGGGGCAUUUACACCUGUUGUAGUAUGGCAAAUGGGAUGGUUACUUCAUUUAUUAUAACCACUAUGCAGUAUGUGUGUGAAACCCUCACAUCAUACAUUUGAAUCUAUGGGGCAAGUGCAUUAGAAUAGAAAAAUCAUCUUUGGUAUCGUAACAACUGAAGAUUAGAAUGAAAAAGUUGACAUUAGGAAACAAAAUGUUCUUAUCUUUCACAAGUUUGGGAGAUGGUGGCUUUAUUCCUCCAGAACUUUCCUGAGAUCCCAAUUUGCUGAAUGUAUAUGGCAGUACAGGAGAUCAUGGAGAACCUGGAAACCUACCUGCUUAUGACACCUUUAAGAGGGCCCUGGUAAAGAACAAUUGUGAACUUGUACCAGAUCCUUACUUUUGGAAGUGUUUGGAGGAACUGGCCUAGGAAUCCCAAGGGAGCUGACUGUGGUGGGUUGGGCCAUGGGAUGCCACUCAUUCUUCAGAUAUGACUCCCAGAGCCUGAUCCAGACUGGAUGACCCAGAGGACAUGUGUACACCCAGAGCCACAGGUGCUUGGAACAGGCACUGAUGUGUGACUGAGGUCCUGGGAUGUUUCCCUGUGCCCAGCACCUGUAGGUGUUGGCAGGGACUUCCUGUCCUGCUGACCUUGUUGAAUCAUACUGUAUUGGGUAUUUUUUACCCAUUCACCUACUGAUGCGCACCCAUGUUGAUUUCCUGAUUUGGCUAUUGCUACUCACCUUAACAGGAGAACGAUUUAUUCUGGCUCACAGUUUUGGAGAUUUCAGUUUAUGAUUGGCUGGCCCUACUGCCUUUAGGCAAUACAUCAUGCUGGAAGCAUAUGGAAGAAGAAGAAGAAGCUGCUCAUCCAAGGUACAUGACUGAAACACAAGCAAAAUCUGUUGCCAACACAAACACAGAAAAUUUCCAGCAUUCGGCGUGCCUGGCUUCUCCAGAAGGUAACAGGACCUGAUCAUCUUGGGCCCCAUGCUGUGAAAGAUGCCAAUAUGUGGGAGCUCAUAGUUUAUCCUGCCUCUCCACACCCUGGGAGCCUCCCUGCUGCUUCCUGCUGGCCUUUCAGUUGCCUCUGACCUGGAUCCUAGAGGCACUGGAUCUUGUGACAUCA
ensembl:lncRNA